CCUACGGGAGGCAGCAGUGGGGAAUAUUGCACAAUGGGCGAAACCCUGAUGCAGCGACGCCGCGUGAGUGAAGAAGUAAUUCGUUAUGUAAAGCUCUAUCAGCAGGGAAGAAAAUGACGGUACCUGAGUAAGAAGCCCCGGCUAACUACGUGCCAGCAGCCGCGGUAAUACGUAGGGGGCAAGCGUUAUCCGGAUUUACUGGGUGGAAAGGGAGCGUAGACGGCAGUGCAAGUCUGGAGUGAAAGGCGGGGGCUCAACCCCCGGACUGCAUUGGAAACUGGACGGCUGGAGUGCAGGAGAGGUAAGUGGAAGUCCUAGUGUAGCGGUGAAAUGCGUAGAUAUUAGGAGGAACACCAGUGGCGAAGGCGGCUUACUGGACUGUAACUGACGUUGAGGCUCGAAAGCGUGGGGAGCAAACAGGAUUAGAUACCCGAGUAGUC
rnacentral:rRNA from 1 species